AUUGAACGCUAGCGGGAUGCUUUACACAUGCAAGUCGAACGGCAGCGCGGACUUCGGUCUGGCGGCGAGUGGCGAACGGGUGAGUAAUAUAUCGGAACGUGCCCAGUAGCGGGGGGAUAACUACGCGAAAGCGUGGCUAAUACCGCAUACGCCCUACGGGGGAAAGGGGGGAUUCUUCGGAACCUCUCACUAUUGGAGCG
rnacentral:rRNA from 1 species